rnacentral:rRNA from 1 species
GGCGAACGCUGGCGGCGUGCUUAACACAUGCAAGUCGAACGGUAAGGCCCUUCGGGGUACACGAGUGGCGAACGGGUGAGUAACACGUGGGUGAUCUGCCCUGCACUUCGGGAUAAGCCUGGGAAACUGGGUCUAAUACCGGAUAGGACCACUGCCUGCAUGGGUGGUGGUGGAAAGCUUUUGCGGUGUGGGAUGGGCCCGCGGCCUAUCAGCUUGUUGGUGGGGUGAUGGCCUACCAAGGCGACGACGGGUAGCCGGCCUGAGAGGGUGACCGGCCACACUGGGACUGGGAUACGGCCCAGACUCCUACGGGAGGCAGAAGUGGGGAAUAUUGCACAAUGGGCGCAAGCCUGAUGCAGCGACGCCGCGUGAGGGAUGACGGCCUUCGGGUUGUAAACCUCUUUCAGCACCGACGAAGCGCAAGUGACGGUAGGUGCAGAAGAAGGACCGGCCAACUACGUGCCAGCCGCCGCCGUAA